GAAACAUCUAAGUACCCCGAGGAAAAGAAAUCAACCGAGAUUCCCCCAGUAGCGGCGAGCGAACGGGGAGGAGCCCAGAGCCUGAAUCAGUGUGUGUGUUAGUGGAAGCGUCUGGAAAGGCGCGCGAUACAGGGUGACAGCCCCGUACACAAAAAUACACAUAUUGUGAGCUCGAUGAGUAGGGCGGGACACGUGGUAUCCUGUCUGAAUAUGGGGGGACCAUCCUCCAAGGCUAAAUACUCCUGACUGACCGAUAGUGAACCAGUACCGUGAGGGAAAGGCGAAAAGAACCCCGGCGAGGGGAGUGAAAAAGAACCUGAAACCGUGUACGUACAAGCAGUGGGAGCACGCUUAGGCGUGUGACUGCGUACCUUUUGUAUAAUGGGUCAGCGACUUAUAUUCUGUAGCAAGGUUAACCGAAUAGGGGAGCCGAAGGGAAACCGAGUCUUAACUGGGCGUUAAGUUGCAGGGUAUAGACCCGAAACCCGGUGAUCUAGCCAUGGGCAGGUUGAAGGUUGGGUAACACUAACUGGAGGACCGAACCGACUAAUGUUGAAAAAUUAGCGGAUGACUUGUGGCUGGGGGUGAAAGGCCAAUCAAACCGGGAGAUAGCUGGUUCUCCCCGAAAGCUAUUUAGGUAGCGCCUCGUGAAUUCAUCUCCGGGGGUAGAGCACUGUUUCGGCAAGGGGGUCAUCCCGACUUACCAACCCGAUGCAAACUGCGAAUACCGGAGAAUGUUAUCACGGGAGACACACGGCGGGUGCUAACGUCCGUCGUGAAGAGGGAAACAACCCAGACCGCCAGCUAAGGUCCCAAAGUCAUGGUUAAGUGGGAAACGAUGUGGGAAGGCCCAGACAGCCAGGAUGUUGGCUUAGAAGCAGCCAUCAUUUAAAGAAAGCGUAAUAGCUCACUGGUCGAGUCGGCCUGCGCGGAAGAUGUAACGGGGCUAAACCAUGCACCGAAGCUGCGGCAGCGACGCUUAUGCGUUGUUGGGUAGGGGAGCGUUCUGUAAGCCUGCGAAGGUGUGCUGUGAGGCAUGCUGGAGGUAUCAGAAGUGCGAAUGCUGACAUAAGUAACGAUAAAGCGGGUGAAAAGCCCGCUCGCCGGAAGACCAAGGGUUCCUGUCCAACGUUAAUCGGGGCAGGGUGAGUCGACCCCUAAGGCGAGGCCGAAAGGCGUAGUCGAUGGGAAACAGGUUAAUAUUCCUGUACUUGGUGUUACUGCGAAGGGGGGACGGAGAAGGCUAUGUUGGCCGGGCGACGGUUGUCCCGGUUUAAGCGUGUAGGCUGGUUUUCCAGGCAAAUCCGGAAAAUCAAGGCUGAGGCGUGAUGACGAGGCACUACGGUGCUGAAGCAACAAAUGCCCUGCUUCCAGGAAAAGCCUCUAAGCAUCAGGUAACAUCAAAUCGUACCCCAAACCGACACAGGUGGUCAGGUAGAGAAUACCAAGGCGCUUGAGAGAACUCGGGUGAAGGAACUAGGCAAAAUGGUGCCGUAACUUCGGGAGAAGGCACGCUGAUAUGUAGGUGAAGUCCCUUGCGGAUGGAGCUGAAAUCAGUCGAAGAUACCAGCUGGCUGCAACUGUUUAUUAAAAACACAGCACUGUGCAAACACGAAAGUGGACGUAUACGGUGUGACGCCUGCCCGGUGCCGGAAGGUUAAUUGAUGGGGUCAGCGCAAGCGAAGCUCUUGAUCGAAGCCCCGGUAAACGGCGGCCGUAACUAUAACGGUCCUAAGGUAGCGAAAUUCCUUGUCGGGUAAGUUCCGACCUGCACGAAUGGCGUAAUGAUGGCCAGGCUGUCUCCACCCGAGACUCAGUGAAAUUGAACUCGCUGUGAAGAUGCAGUGUACCCGCGGCAAGACGGAAAGACCCCGUGAACCUUUACUAUAGCUUGACACUGAACAUUGAGCCUUGAUGUGUAGGAUAGGUGGGAGGCUUUGAAGUGUGGACGCCAGUCUGCAUGGAGCCGGCCUUGAAAUACCACCCUUUAAUGUUUGAUGUUCUAACGUGGACCCGUGAUCCGGGUUGCGGACAGUGUCUGGUGGGUAGUUUGACUGGGGCGGUCUCCUCCUAAAGAGUAACGGAGGAGCACGAAGGUUGGCUAAUCCUGGUCGGACAUCAGGAGGUUAGUGCAAUGGCAUAAGCCAGCUUGACUGCGAGCGUGACGGCGCGAGCAGGUGCGAAAGCAGGUCAUAGUGAUCCGGUGGUUCUGAAUGGAAGGGCCAUCGCUCAACGGAUAAAAGGUACUCCGGGGAUAACAGGCUGAUACCGCCCAAGAGUUCAUAUCGACGGCGGUGUUUGGCACCUCGAUGUCGGCUCAUCACAUCCUGGGGCUGAAGUAGGUCCCAAGGGUAUGGCUGUUCGCCAUUUAAAGUGGUACGCGAGCUGGGUUUAGAACGUCGUGAGACAGUUCGGUCCCUAUCUGCCGUGGGCGCUGGAGAACUGAGGGGGGCUGCUCCUAGUACGAGAGGACCGGAGUGGACGCAUCACUGGUGUUCGGGUUGUCAUGCCAAUGGCACUGCCCGGUAGCUAAAUGCGGAAGAGAUAAGUGCUGAAAGCAUCUAAGCACGAAACUUGCCCCGAGAUGAGUUCUCCCUGACCCUUUAAGGGUCCUGAAGGAACGUUGAAGACGACGACGUUGAUAGGCCGGGUGUGUAAGCGCAGCGAUGCGUUGAGCUAACCGGUACUAAUGAACCGUGAGG
rnacentral:rRNA from 1 species